GUCUCCGGGCGCCGGGAACCGAGGGCCGCGCUGGGAGUCUCCCGCCGGCUCCCUCGGGGGGGUUUCCCUGGAAAGACCGCUGGAGGCCUUCCUUAAAGAGCCACUCCCGCAAAACAGGUGGACUGGAGCAGUUCGUGGAGGUGCGCUAGGAAGGCCAAGAAAUAGUGCAUGUUCUCACGUGCGGAAGCGAAAAUAGCUGGGCCAGUGUCGAGCGCUCCUGGCCGGUGCCGAGGCCCAGCCGGUACUGGGGAGAGGGGUCACUGAGGGCCAGCGGCAGGGUGGCGAGGGGCAGAGGGAGGGUGAGUGGCCAGCACAAAAACAGGGGCAGUUGCACCGUUUACAUGGUGCAUUUUGUGGAGGACUUGGAGAGAGGGGCCCGGACGCCCAACGCGGAGGGUCAGGAGCCGGGAGGCCAGGCAGCGGCACCCGGCGCCCCGGGAAGGCAGGAGGGGACCUUCCGGGCCGGCUGGGCAGCUCAGCAAGACUCUGUCUCCGAAUAAAAAGGGCUGGGGGUGUGGCAGGAUGGUGGAGAGCCUUGGGUCCCAUCCCGGGUACCAGGGGGAAAGAUGAACCGCUCUGCAUCCCGACUUGAUGGGAUGUGGGGUGUGCCUGCCUCCAACUACCACGUCGCAGCCCGCCAAUGUCCACAGUUCUUAUGUGGCAACUCAAAGCCACAGGGGAGCCACAUCCAGCCACCAAACCCUCCUCAGCCACUGUGGGACAUUGGGCUGCUGACUCCUGCCGGGCUCCCCACCGGUCUAGCCUUACUACCUCAUUGGACUCCUGAAAAUUGAGGUGAUGAAGGAACCCUCCAAACAUGCUCAGGGGAAGAGGCUGGAGGUGAAAAGCCACAGGUCACAGAGUGCCAUAGAUAGAAGGGCCCAGCAAGGAGGGCACAGAGCAGGACGUCACAGAAUCCCGUGGGAUGAUGUCAUUGGCUUCUGCCAGCAGCCAUCUGAACAGAGAGGCGCCUGGCCAGGCCUUGGAUGCGGGCUGCGCCCAGGCGGACCCCAAGUCCCAGGAGGCACCACGGAGGGCUGCGGCCUUGGUGUUGGGCAGAUGGUGCAGCUCCAGCACCUGCCAGGGAGCACAGCUGUCCCCAAGGCGGGUGCCCACACUGGCAGGUGCCGGCCCAGAGGCCCAGUGCCUCUGCUGAGUUUUGGCGCCAGAUUUUCAAAAUCCCAGGCCAACGGCUGCUGCUGGUUCCCGGCCAGGAUCGUCUUCCAGGAUCUGAAUUCCGGAGCCCGGAGCUCUGGGAGGCCUGGAUUCCGGCAUCUGGAUCUUGGAGGAGUGGAUCCUGGAUCUGGUGUAGACCCAGGCCUUCAUGCGGAAGCCCUAGGUCUUGGGGUUCCAGAAUCUGGAGUCUGGGUCUUGGGGACCCUGAUUUUGGAGCCUGAAACUGUGGGAAGCCGUUCUCGCCCGUGGUAGUUACCUCCCUGGCUGGGUGUGAGGCGCUUAGGCACACUGUGUCAGAGCCUUCCCCACCCUGCCGCAGGUGCCAGGGCUUGUCUGUGUGGGGGUGUGCCUGACCACUGACCUCAAGACCAAUCACUGACCCUGACCUGGGAAUGUUGCCCCCCUCGACCUUCAUUGGAUGGAAUUUUCCUCUGAAUUUUUUGUUCCCUAAUAAAAGCUCGCUCCCUGGCGUGUUCCCCCUCUCUCGCUGGCCUCUUGUGUGAACCUCACUACCGCAUCAAGUGGCUGGAGGCAGGAGCUGGGAGGAGCCGUCUCUGAGCUGGGCAAAUAAGGUAA